rnacentral:hammerhead_ribozyme from 1 species
AUCCAGCUGAUGAGUCCCAAAUGGGACGAAACACACGUCGUGGAU